rnacentral:lncRNA from 1 species
AGGAGUUUAGGAGAGAGAGGUGACUCCAAGGUGACAUCCCAAGAAACCUAGCAAGCAGUUGGAAAUUCAACACAGUUGGAGAACGAAGCUACUCAGAAAAGGAUCUACCAUGCAUGAAGAAACAGAUUAACAUAAUUCAAAUUAUGAGCAGCUAUAUUUGUAGCUCUGCUAAGGGAAUGUAGACAUGUCUACAUAUGAAUAUAGCCCUCACCUGUAUAGACACUAAAAUGUAAUUCAGGUAUUUCAUUUCAUUCUCUCAUCUCCUCACUUCAAUUUUAGGUGAGAAUACCAAUUCAAUUCUCCAUACAUCAAAUUUCCUUCUCCUGAAAAAUAUUAUAGGAUUUGUGGACAGAAUUAUUUUUAUGUAAAGUCUUCAUGAUAACUGAAUUGGACUACAUUGUGUUUGCACCCAUAUAAAUCUAAACAAGCCUGAGAGCAGCUUUAUCUCUAACUUUCUGUCU